rnacentral:rRNA from 1 species
AUUGAACGCUGGCGGCAUGCCUUACACAUGCAAGUCGAACGGCAGCACGGGAGCUUGCUCCUGGUGGCGAGUGGCGAACGGGUGAGUAGAGCAUCGGAACGUGCCCUGAAGUGGGGGAUAACGUAGCGAAAGUUACGCUAAUACCGCAUAUUCUGUGAGCAGGAAAGCAGGGGACCGCAAGGCCUUGUGCUUUAGGAGCGGCCGAUGUCGGAUUAGCUAGUUGGUGAGGUAAAGGCUCACCAAGGCGACGAUCCGUAGCGGGUCUGAGAGGAUGAUCCGCCACACUGGGACUGAGACACGGCCCAGACUCCUACGGGAGGCAGCAGUGGGGAAUUUUGGACAAUGGGCGCAAGCCUGAUCCAGCCAUGCCGCGUGAGUGAAGAAGGCCUCGGUGUAAGCUCUUCGUCGGGAGGAAGUAGGCGCUUCUAAUACAGAGCGUCGAUGACGGUACCGCCGA